rnacentral:rRNA from 1 species
CCUACGGGAGGCAGCAGUGGGGAAUAUUGGGCAAUGGGCGCAAGCCUGACCCAGCAACGCCGCGUGAAGGAAGAAGGCUUUCGGGUUGUAAACUUCUUUUAAGAGGGAAGAGCAGAAGACGGUACCUCUUGAAUAAGCCACGGCUAACUACGUGCCAGCAGCCGCGGUAAUACGGAGGUGGCAAGCGUUGUCCGGAUUUACUGGGGGUAAAGGGCGUGCAGCCGGGAAGACAAGUCAGAUGUGAAAUCCCGCGGCUCAACCGCGGAACUGCAUUUGAAACUGUUUUUCUUGAGUACCGGAGAGGUCAUCGGAAUUCCUUGUGUAGCGGUGAAAUGCGUAGAUAUAAGGAAGAACACCAGUGGCGAAGGCGGAUGACUGGACGGCAACUGACGGUGAGGCGCGAAAGCGUGGGGAGCAAACAGGAUUAGAUACCCUGGUAGUC